CCUACGGGAGGCAGCAGUAAGGAAUAUUGGUCAAUGGAGGGAACUCUGAACCAGCCAUGCCGCGUGCAGGAAGACGGCCCUAUGGGUUGUAAACUGCUUUUGCAAGGGAAUAAACAAUGGUAUGCGUACUGUUCUGAAUGUACUGGGAUAGGUUG
rnacentral:rRNA from 1 species